rnacentral:rRNA from 1 species
UACGGAGGGAGCUAGCGUUGUUCGGAAUUACUGGGCGUAAAGCGCGCGUAGGCGGCUUUGUAAGUUAGAGGUGAAAGCCUGGAGCUCAACUCCAGAAUUGCCUUUAAGACUGCAUCGCUAGAAUCCAGGAGAGGUGAGUGGAAUUCCGAGUGUAGAGGUGAAAUUCGUAGAUAUUCGGAAGAACACCAGUGGCGAAGGCGGCUCACUGGACUGGUAUUGACGCUGAGGUGCGAAAGCGUGGGGAGCGAACAGG